UGCGCGGUCGUCGACCCGGAGGUCGAGCACCUCGCCGUCGUAGAUGAGCUGACCCAUGAGGAUCCUUCUACACCUGA
rnacentral:sRNA from 1 species